GUCCAGACUCCUACGGGAGGCAGCAGUGGGGGAUAUUGCACAAUGGGGGGAACCCUGAUGCAGCGACGCCGCGUGGGCGAAGAAGUAUUUCGGUAUGUAAAGCUCUAUCAGCAGGGAAGAAAAUGACGGUACCUGACUAAGAAGCCCCGGCUAACUACGUGCCAGCAGCCGCGGUAAUACGUAUGGUGCAAGCGUUAUCCGGAUUUACUGGGUGUAAAGGGAGCGCAGGCGGCACGGCAAGCCUGAUGUGAAAGCCCGCGGCCCAACCGCGGGACUGCAUUGGGAACUACCGGGCUGGAGUGCCGGAGGGGUAAGCGGAAUUCCUGGUGUAGCGGUGAAAUGCGUAGAUAUCAGGAGGAACACCGGCGGCGAAGGCGGCUUACUGGACGGAAACUGACGUUGAGGCCCGAAAGCGUGGGGAGCGAACAGGAUUAGAUACCCGCGUAA
rnacentral:rRNA from 1 species